rnacentral:rRNA from 1 species
GACGAACGCUGGCGGCGUGCUUAACACAUGCAAGUCGAGCGAUGAAGCACCUUCGGGUGUGAAUUAGCGGCGAACGGGUGAGGAACACGUGAGAAAUCUGCCUUCAACACUGGGAUAACUCCGGGAAACCGGGGCUAAUACCGGAUAUGAAACCUGCGGGCAUCCGCGGGUUUGGAAAGUUUUUCGGUUGAAGAUAACUUCGCGGCCUAUCAGCUUGUUGGUGAGGUAAUGGCUCACCAAGGCGACGACGGGUAGCCGGCCUGAGAGGGCGACCGGCCACACUGGGACUGAGACACGGCCCAGACUCCUACGGGAGGCAGCAGUGGGGAAUAUUGGGCAAUGGAGGAAACUCUGACCCAGCGACGCCGCGUGAGGGAUGAAGGCCUUCGGGUUGGUAAACCUACUUUCAGUAGGGAAGAAGCGAAAGUGACGGUACCUACAGAAGAAGCACCGGCUAACUAUGUG